rnacentral:lncRNA from 1 species
ACACUGCAGCUCCACUACCUCAUAGCUUUCAUCAACCACACUUCUGCAUUUCCUUAUAUUAAGGUCAUGCACUUGGCCAUUACAUACAACUAUACUCAACAACAACAAACACUUAGCGGGCACCAUUUUUUGAUUUUUCAGUUUUUUCUCUGUGAAUCGUCUGCGCAUGUGCACAUAAUCAACAGUUUAAUUAAAAAUAAAAAGGCGGGAGAUUAUGAUUGUGUCAAAAAAAAAAGAACAAUACGAAAAAGAAUAAAUAUGAAAGAAUUGAGAUGUUGCUAUAUGAUCUUCAACAAUAGUAUAACUCGAAAAAAGGGGGAACGGAAACACAUAUAAUAAGAAAAAUAUUAGGUACGAGACAAUGACGCUC